rnacentral:rRNA from 1 species
ACACGCAAGUCGAGCGGCAGCACAGAGGAACUUGUUCCUUGGGUGGCGAGCGGCGGACGGGUGAGUAAUGCCUGGGAAAUUGCCCGGUAGAGGGGGAUAACCAUUGGAAACGAUGGCUAAUACCGCAUAACCUCGCAAGAGCAAAGCAGGGGACCUUCGGGCCUUGCGCUACCGGAUAUGCCCAGGUGGGAUUAGCUAGUUGGUGAGGUAAGGGCUCACCAAGGCGACGAUCCCUAGCUGGUCUGAGAGGAUGAUCAGCCACACUGGAACUGAGACACGGUCCAGACUCCUACGGGAGGCAGCAGUGGGGAAUAUUGCACAAUGGGCGCAAGCCUGAUGCAGCCAUGCCGCG